rnacentral:pre_miRNA from 14 species
AUUUUGUUAGAUGUCUCUUCAUUAUCAGGUAAGAAAUCUUUGUAGUUUUCCGCGAGUCAACGUGAAAACUGAAGAGAUUUUUUACAGAUUCCGGAGGAGCAUC